rnacentral:rRNA from 1 species
UAAUACGUAGGUGGCAAGCGUUGUCCGGAUUUAUUGGGCGUAAAGCGCGCGCAGGCGGUCCUUUAAGUCUGAUGUGAAAUCUUGCGGCUCAACCGCAAGCGGUCAUUGGAAACUGGGGGACUUGAGUGCAGAAGAGGAAAGCGGAAUUCCACGUGUAGCGGUGAAAUGCGUAGAGAUGUGGAGGAACACCAGUGGCGAAGGCGGCUUUCUGGUCUGUAACUGACGCUGAGGCGCGAAAGCGUGGGGAGCAAACAGGAUUAGAUACCCUGGUAGUCCACGCCGUAAACGAUGAGUGCUAAGUGUUGGAGGGUUUCCACCCUUCAGUGCUGCAGCUAACGCAUUAAGCACUCCGCCUGGGGAGUACGGUCGCAAGACUGAA